GACGUAGGGGACGAGCGUUGUCCGGAAUUAUUGGGCGUAAAGAGCUCGUAGGCGGUUUGUUGCGUCGGCUGUGAAAUCCCGAGGCUCAACCUCGGGUCUGCAGUCGAUACGAGCAAACUAGAGUGUUGCAGGGGAGACUGGAAUUCCUGGUGUAGCGGUGAAAUGCGCAGAUAUCAGGAGGAACACCGGUGGCGAAGGCGGGUCUCUGGGCAACAACUGACGCUGAGGAGCGAAAGCGUGGGGAGCGAACAGG
rnacentral:rRNA from 1 species